UACAGAGGGGGCAAGCGUUAUUCGGAAUUAUUGGGCGUAAAGGGCGCGUAGGCGGCUUUGCAAGUGACGGGUGAAAGCCCUCGGCUUAACCGAGGAACUGCCUGUCAGACUGUGAGGCUUGAGACCGGGAGAGGUGAGUGGAAUUCCCAGUGUAGCGGUGAAAUGCGUAGAUAUUGGGAGGAACACCAGUGGCGAAGGCGGCUCACUGGACUGGUAUUGACGCUGAGGUGCGAAAGCGUGGGGAGCAAACAGG
rnacentral:rRNA from 1 species